CUACGGGUGGCACCAGUGAGGAAUAUUGCACAAUGGGGGGAACCCUGAUGCAGCAACGCCGCGUGGAGGAUGACGCAUUUCGGUGUGUAAACUCCUUUUAUAUGUCAAGAAAAUGACGGUAGCAUAUGAAUAAGCGCCGGCUAACUCCGUGCCAGCAGCCGCGGUAAUACGGAGGGCGCAAGCGUUACUCGGAAUCACUGGGCGUAAAGGACGCGUAGGCGGGUUGAAAAGUCAGGUGUGAAAGCCUACAGCUUAACUGUAGAACUGCACUUGAAACUCUCAACCUAGAGUUUGGGAGGGGCAGAUGGAAUUAGUGGUGUAGGGGUAAAAUCCGUAGAUAUCACUAGGAAUACCUAAAGCGAAGGCGAUCUGCUGGAACAUUACUGACGCUAAGGCGUGAAAGCGUGGGGAGCAAACAGGAUUAGAUACCCGUGUAGUC
rnacentral:rRNA from 1 species